GGGGCCUUAAUGGUUUCGACGUGUUGGUGAAAGCCAACCUGUGAUUCAGGUCGAGAGUGAGUCUCCUCUCGUAAAUCAAAGGCUCAAACAAAAGUAACUGCGAAUAACAUCGUUUCUUUUGCUCGUAAGGCAGCACCUGUUGCUGCUUAAUAACCUCUAAUCAGGUUCGAGCGUCUGUAGUCUGACUCCGUUAAGGGCUAUGGACAAAACCCCAACGGAUGCGUUAGUAAGUUGCCUUUGGUCGGCUUACUAAUUAAGACCUCACCAAAGCAUCCUGUCAUCCGGGAUAAUGGAUGGUUCCCGCCCCGAGGGUUAGAAGGGCUAAACCUGUGAACGAGCGGAAGGUCAAUACCCAGUGCGGACACGGGUUCAAUUCCCGUAGGCUCCAUAG
rnacentral:tmRNA from 2 species